rnacentral:rRNA from 1 species
AGCAGUAGCCACGGGAAUACGGAGGGUGCAAGCGUCAAUCGGAAUUACUGGGCGUAAAGCGCACGCAGGCGGUUUGUUAAGUCUGCUGUGAAAUCCCCGGGCUCAACCUGGGAAUGGCAGUGGAUACUGGCAAGCUAGAGUGUGUCAGAGGAUGGUGGAAUUCCCGGUGUAGCGGUGAAAUGCGUAUAGAUCGGGAGGAACAUCAGUGGCGAAGGCGGCCAUCUGGGACAACACUGACGCUGAGGCACGAAAGCGUGGGGAGCAAACAGGAUUAGAUACCCCAGUAGUCCCUGUCUCUUAUAC